GUACGUAGGGGCUUCCUUGCAAACGCUUGCGUUGUCCCCGAAGGCCUGCGCGGUGUAUCCGGCCGCCUUUUAUAUCCCGUCGCGGUGCUCUUUACUGAGUGUCGAGGCGGGCCGGCACGUUUACUUUGAACAAAUUAGAGUGCUUUAAGCAGGCCCUGUCCCGCCUGUAUGUUGUGUGCAUGGAAUAAUGGAAUAGGACCUCGGUUCUAUUUUGUUGGUUUUCGGAAUCUGAGGUAAUGAUCAAUGGGGACAGGCGGGGGCAUUCGUAUUGCGACGUUAGAGGUGAAAUUCUUGGAUCGUCGCAAGACGGACCGAAGCGAAAGCAUUUGCCAAGUAUGUUCUCGUCGAUCAAGAACGAAAGUUAGAGGUUCGAAGGCGAUCAGAUACCGCCCUAGUUCUAACCAUAAACUAUGCCUGCCAGCGAUCCGCCGAAGUUCCUCCGAUGACUCGGCGGGCAGCUUCCGGGAAACCAGAGCUUUUGGGUUCCGGGGGAAGUAUGGUUGCAAAGCUGAAACUUAAAGGAAUUGACGGAAGGGCACCACCAGGAGUGGAGCCUGCGGCUUAAUUUGACUCAACACGGGAAAACUCACCAGGCCCGGACACCGGAAGGAUUGACAGAUUGAGAGCUCUUUCUUGAUUCGGUGGGUGGUGGUGCAUGGCCGUUCUUAGUUGGUGGAGCGAUUUGUCUGGUUAAUUCCGAUAACGAACGAGACUCUAGCCUACUAACUAGGCGUACCCGGUAUCCACUAUCGUGCUACCGGCGGUCAAAUUUCUUCUUAGAGGGACAGGCGGCGUCUAGCCGCAAGAGACUGAGCAAUAACAGGUCUGUGAUGCCCUUAGAUGUCCUGGGCCGCACGCGCGCUACACUGAAGGAAUCAGCGUGUCUUCCCUGUCCGAAAGGACCGGGUAACCCGCUGAACCUCCUUUGUGCUAGGGAUUGGGGCUUGCAAUUGUUCCCCAUGAACGAGGAAUUCCCAGUAAGCGCGAGUCAUAAGCUCGCGUUGAUUACGUCCCUGCCCUUUGUACACACCGCCCGUCGCUACUACCGAUUGAAUGAUUUAGUGAGGUCUUCGGACUGGUGCGCGGAGGCCGCAUUACACGGUCUCCGAUGUUGCUGGAAAGAUGACCAAACUUGAUCAUUU
rnacentral:rRNA from 1 species